rnacentral:lncRNA from 1 species
UGUCAUUACAUCUAUAGAGGUGAGAUUACAAGAUGAAGAAGUUCUUGAGAUUGGCUGUAUAAUUCUGUGAACAUAAUUAACACUACUGAAAUAGACAGUUAAGACAGCUUUGGCACUUGCCUUCAAGCCUGACAACGGAAGUUCAAUCCCUGGCACCCACGUAGUGGAAGUAGAGAACUAACUUCUAAGAGCUGUCCUCUGAACUUUAUUACCCAUGUACCAUAGCAUGUGCCCCUCCCAAACACAAAUAAAUUGAAGUGUAACAUAUAUUUUUAAAAGAUAAUGAACUUUUUUAUCAUGUGCAAUGUAGCACAAAUAACUUUUAAAUGUGUUUCGUAUUCUGAAAUAACAAAACGGUACUCUAAGCCAAAUGCCAUUCAUUUAUAGAAAACUUUACCAUAAUGUACACUAUGCCUUUGUAAGAAGGCACAUAGUAUAUGACAUUUUCUCAACUUGUAUGGCUGUGGAUCUAUGUUUCCAAUGCACUAUGCAACUUGCCCAAUGUAUUCAUGAGUGCAUUUUACAAAAUGGUACUGUAUAAACUGCUAGUGAUUUAAGGUCUUACUCCUCUACCAGACAUUUUAUUUCAAAGAGAUACCUGCACUAAUUAAUGCUUAUGCAAAAGAAAUGUGUCUCUAAAGAUAGAAUGUUAAUCCUUGCAAAUGCCUAAGGUUUAGGGCAUCCGGCCACCUACCAUCUCUCGGAUCUGUGCUUGCCAACAGCCAACCUCUUCUGCCUGCUUGCAAGGUCAGCCUGGCAUUUUGACAAUGCUGAGAGUAGGCCAUUAGAUUUAGUAGUCAUACCUAAGAGAGACCCAUCUUCACUAUGUAUGUGAUCCCAGAGCUGCAUGACUUCCUUAAGCCAUCGAGUCCUUCUAAUACAGAGAGCCAGCAUUUCCAAGGAAGAACUUUAAUGCUGUGCAGAAACCUGUGGAUAGAGAGAAUUCAGAUCAAAAAAAAAAAAAAAAAAAAAAAAAAGGAAAACUUACUUGGGUUGAAUGUCGUCGUGUGUAAUUCAAAACCGGAAGGUUGCCUGUAGGUUUAUAUAUGCUGUAGUUGUUUUAAAGGACAAUGACAUGGUUAAAAGCCAAGAAUUUCCUCCAUGAGCAGGUGAAAAAACAGCUGACAUUCUCCAUUGUUUUUCUGAGGGCUUCGAAUGGCUUUUCCAGACCUGUAACUUGUAAGCAUUUUAGUAACAUUUGAUUAGCAGUUAUGCCUUACUGUGUCAAACCUAAAAUUAGAAUCUGAUUUCCUGACAUUGUCCCUCCCCCAAAUAAAGCCUCCAAUAAUUCUGUAUUUCUUCCAAUUGGGGGGUGGGUGGGUGGUACCUUUCAGUGGUAGCACAGGACUUCAAUCCCAACAGUGGGGAGGCAGAGGUGCAUAGAUCUCUGAGGCUGAGGCCAGCUUGAUCUACAGAGUGAGUUCUAGGACAGCCAGAGCUACCCAGAAAAACUCUCUCUCAACAAACAAACAAACAAACAAACAAAAUCAGUCCAAAAUUAUUUCCCCUUUCCUCUUCUGAGAACUCUCAACAAUACACUGUC